rnacentral:rRNA from 1 species
CGUUAGCGGCGGACGGGUGAGUAACACGUGGGUAACCUACCUAUAAGACUGGGAUAACUCCGGGAAACCGGGGCUAAUACCGGAUAACACAUGAAACCGCAUGGUUUCAUGAUGAAAGACGGUUUUGCUGUCACUUAUAGAUGGACCCGCGGCGUAUUAGCUAGUUGGUAAGGUAACGGCUUACCAAGGCAACGAUACGUAGCCGACCUGAGAGGGUGAUCGGCCACACUGGAACUGAGACACGGUCCAGACUCCUACGGGAGGCAGCAGCA